rnacentral:SRP_RNA from 1 species
GGAAGGUUGGCGGCGGACGGAUGGCACGCUAACCCGGUCAGAUUCGAAAGAAAGCAGCCGUAUGUGCGCUUUUCCGGGUCGUUGUCCAGCCUUCCACC